AGGACGAACGCUGGCGGCGUGCCUAAUGCAUGCAAGUCGCACGCACGGAGCUUGCUCCGUGAGUGGCGCACGGCUGAGGAUCACGUGGGAACAUGCCUCCUUGUGGGGGACAACACCGCGAAAGCGGUGCUAAUCCCGCAUACGCUCGGCAACGAGGAAAGCGUGUAAACGCGCAGGGAGAGUGGCCCGCGGCCCAUCAGGUCGUCGGUGGGGUAAUGGCCUACCGAGCCUAUGACGGGUAGCUGGUCUGUGAGGACAGACAGCCACACUGGGACUGAGACACGGCCCAGACUCCUACGGGAGGCAGCAGUGGGGAAUCUUGGACAAUGGGCGCAAGCCUGAUCCAGCCAUGCCGCGUGAGUGACGAAGGCCUUAGGGUUGUAAAGCUCGUUUGCCGGGGACGAUAAUGACGGUACCGGAGAAUAAGUCCGGCUAACUUCGUGCCAGCAGCCGC
rnacentral:rRNA from 1 species